GGCAGUUUGGCCGAGUGGUUAAGGUUAGACCGCCCAUAACGAAAGUGUCGUGGGUUCGAACCCCACAGCUGCCA
rnacentral:tRNA from 5 species